rnacentral:tRNA from 1 species
GGAAGUGUAGCUCAGUGGCUGAAUGUGUGUUUAGUACACAUGAGACCCUGUGUUCAAUUCCCAGCACCA